AUUGAACGCUGGCGGCAGGCCUAACACAUGCAAGUCGAACGGUAACAGGAAACAGCUUGCUGUUUCGCUGACGAGUGGCGGACGGGUGAGUAAUGUCUGGGAAACUGCCUGAUGGAGGGGGAUAACUACUGGAAACGGUAGCUAAUACCGCAUAACGUCGCAAGACCAAAGAGGGGGACCUUCGGGCCUCUUGCCAUCGGAUGUGCCCAGAUGGGAUUAGCUAGUGGGUGGGGUAACGGCUCACCUAGGCGACGAUCCCUAGCUGGUCUGAGAGGAUGACCAGCCACACUGGAACUGAGACACGGUCCAGACUCCUACGGGAGGCAGCAGUGGGGAAUAUUGCACAAUGGGCGCAAGCCUGAUGCAGCCAUGCCGCGUGUAUGAAGAAGGCCUUCGGGUUGUAAAGUACUUUCAGCGGGGAGGAAGGGAGUAAAGUUAAUACCUUUGCUCAUUGACGUUACCCGCAGAAGAAGCACCGGCUAACUCCGUG
rnacentral:rRNA from 1 species